rnacentral:rRNA from 1 species
AGUUUGAUCCUGGCUCAGGACGAACGCUGGCGGCGCGCCUAACACAUGCAAGUCGAACGAGCGAGAGAGAGCUUGCUUUCUCGGCGAGUGCGGACGGGUUAAUAAACGGUUGAGGCACUCCCUUAAAAGAGGGGGCAACAAGUUGGAAAAGGUUUUUUAUACCCGAAUAACCCCAGGGUUGGGCAUGGGCAGGAGGAAAAGGGCCAUUCCCUUUUGAGAUGCCUCCGGUCCGAUUAACUAGUUGGUGGAGGAACGGCCCCACCAAGGCAACGAUCGGUACCCGGACUGAGAGGUUGAACGGCCCAAUUGGGGAUUGAGACACGGCCCAGACUCCUACGGGAGGCAGCAGUGGGGAAUAUUGCACAAUGGGGGAAACCCUGAUGCAGCGACGCCGCGUGGAGGAAGAAGGUCUUCGGAUUGUAAACUCCUGUUGUUGAGGAAGAUAAUGACGGUACUCAACAAGGAAGUGACGGCUAACUACGUGCCAGCAGCCGCGGUAAAACGUAGGUCACAAGCGUUGUCCGGAAUUACUGGGUGUAAAGGGAGCGCAGGCGGGAAGACAAGUUGGAAGUGAAAUCCAUGGGCUCAACCCAUGAACUGCUUUCAAAACUGUUUUUCUUGAGUAGUGCAGAGGUAGGCGGAAUUCCCGGUGUAGCGGUGGAAUGCGUAGAUAUCGGGAGGAACACCAGUGGCGAAGGCGGCCUACUGGGCACCAACUGACGCUGAGGCUCGAAAGUGUGGGUAGCAAACAGGAUUAGAUACCCUGGUAGUCCACACUGUAAACGAUGAUUACUAGGUGUUGGAGGAUUGACCCCUUCAGUGCCGCAGUUAACACAAUAAGUAAUCCACCUGGGGAGUACGACCGCAAGGUUGAAACUCAAAGGAAUUGACGGGGGCCCGCACAAGCAGUGGAGUAUGUGGUUUAAUUCGACGCAACGCGAAGAACCUUACCAAGUCUUGACAUCCUGCGACGCACAUAGAAAUAUGUGUUUCCUUUGGGACGCAGAGACAGGUGGUGCAUGGUUGUCGUCAGCUCGUGUCGUGAGAUGUUGGGUUAAGUCCCGCAACGAGCGCAACCCUUAUGGUCAGUUACUACGCAAGAGGACUCUGGCCAGACUGCCGUUGACAAAACGGAGGAAGGUGGGGAUGACGUCAAAUCAUCAUGCCCUUUAUGACUUGGGCUACACACGUACUACAAUGGCGUUAAACAAAGAGAAGCAAGACCGCGAGGUGGAGCAAAACUCAGAAACAACGUCCCAGUUCGGACUGCAGGCUGCAACUCGCCUGCACGAAGUCGGAAUUGCUAGUAAUCGCAGAUCAGCAUGCUGCGGUGAAUACGUUCCCGGGCCUUGCACACACCGCCCGUC